UGGAACGAUAGGAAUGCGAGUGUGUUCCAAAAGAAAGCCACGAUGCCGACCGUUGUGGUCGAUCGUAUCAAGGCGGAGUAUAGAAAUUGGGUUCUGGCCGGGGCAAAACACAUGGGUUCUUUGAUGCCGCGAGAGUAG
rnacentral:rRNA from 1 species